rnacentral:lncRNA from 1 species
AAUCAAUCUCAAGGAAGCUCUUUGGGAGCCAGGAUUCCCAGCACUUAGCUGGUGGGCAAAGGGGUUCAACCCCUUCCCCACACCCCACCUUCCCUCCUCCCAGUCUUCGGGAUUGCGGAGCUCCUGCCGGGAUCCAAGAGCAGGCUCUUGGAGGUCGAAGAAGGAUAUAACCUCCAGACCUGGAAUUUAAGACGCAAGAACCAGCCAGCAAAAGUGGCAGCCGAGCAUGCGAAAGCACACUUGUUUAAAGAACACUGGAAGCUUCUUCCAACAGAGGGAAAUGGUCAACGCAAGAAGCAAAGCUCUAGGUUUCUGGCAGGUGACAGCACUGCACCAGCUGCAGCCUGUGACUGAGUUCCAGAGGGAAGCCUUAUUCAGAAGUUCUUGUAAAUAGCAUACUGACUAAGACUUGAGACAAGAUGCUGAAGGAUGAAAUGGAUAAUACUAGCACCUGAUAUUUAUGGUGCUGUGAGCCAGCUUUGUCCAAAGUAAGCAUUACCCAUGGAAGUAAACUGUCUUACGUCUCCAAUGCUGUUAACGGGAGCUUCAUUCUGAUCUGUGAAAAUCUCCAGCUUGGACCACUCUGACCUCUUCAGUAAGGAAGUACCUGUUCUCACUGGCCAGCCUGGGUUUCCUGACCAGUCAUUAUGGUAAGGAAAAGAACUCUGGCCCACAUGAAGUUCAGCUGCAGCCUAUCUGUGAAACCAACAUGGAACCAGUCUGACUCUUUGGCUACCACUUAUGUGAGAUGCGGUGGGGGUGGGGCCGUGGCAGAUCAAGAUCAAGAAUAAAGGAACCAUGCCCAUCUCAA